AAACAAAAAAGUCCAGUUUUGAUGUACUUAUGAAGUAACAGUGUGCUGAGUGAUAUAAGCAAGAUGGAGAAUAGGAAACCCCAGACCCUCAUUCUCCCAUAGAGACAUCAACUUAACAACAUCAUAUGGACAAAAUUGCCUGAGAACUCCAAAAACCAGUUGAGAGUUUGCAGCACCCAAAGGUGCACAAAGCCAAGAGAUGCAAUGAAACAGGUAGGAAACGGUGUGGCAUUUUACUUGCCACUGGUAGAGAACAGCAAGGACAAUUGUCAUAGUUACAGCAAGACAAGUGGGGAUUUACAGUCAAAGAGCAGAGUGCAGGGUGGUGGUGGGGUGGGGGUAGAGGCGGGCAUUGGAUGGAAAAUUACUAAGAGGCAACGUCAAGGGAAGGGUGACAUUCUGGUAAAACUGAUUUGACAGGAUUCUUGCUGAAGGCAGACCAGGAUGAUCGAAUGUCAUCUGGAGGAUGGUGGAGGAUGAUGAAUUUGAUUAGAUGUCAAGAGUGGAGGAUUCUUGCUAAAACUGCAAGAAAUAGUUUUGUGAUGCAAAGAUGAAUACAGGAGCUCAAAGGUCAAGUCCUGGUUAAGUAGAGGGUUCAGAGGAAUCUGACUAAAGUGUGGCCAAGGAGAGAUUAUUUGUCACCCUACCUAUUAUCCCUAGCACACUGUGGUAUAAUUGGAAGAAAAUUUCCAAUCCUCUUCUCCCUCAAGAGAGAAAAAGAGAAGGGAACCAACCAUGAG
rnacentral:lncRNA from 1 species